CCCCUAUUGUUAGUUGCCAUCAUUCAGUUGGGCACUCUAGCGAGACUGCCGGUAAUAAACCGGAGGAAGGUGGGGAUGACGUCAAAUCAUCAUGCCCCUUAUGACCUGGGCUACACACGUGCUACAAUGGUUGGUACAACGAGUUGCGAGUCGGUGACGGCGAGCUAAUCUCUUAAAGCCAAUCUCAGUUCGGAUUGUAGGCUGCAACUCGCCUACAUGAAGUCGGAAUCGCUAGUAAUCGCGGAUCAGCACGCCGCGGUGAAUACGUUCCCGGGCCUU
rnacentral:rRNA from 1 species